rnacentral:lncRNA from 1 species
CAAAAAUUUGCAAAUUGCAGAAGAGUGUGUACAAUCUAGGUUGUAAUAUGUAGAACAUGAAAAUGAUUGAUAGAUAACAUGGCCAAACACUUUCAGAAUACGCCAGUUGGAUUGCCACCAAACUGUUUUAGAAGAUGCCCAAAACCUCAUUAGUAGAAUAUCAAUGUUUACACUUUACAUGCUCAAACCAGUGUCUCUGAUGCAAUAGAGAAGUGUUUCAUUUCAGAGUUUCAAAUCUUUCUGGGUAUACGCCAGUACGCCACUAUCUUUAAGUUAUGGUAGAUAAAUGAUUAGCACACUCAUGAUCUAAUCUAGCUCUUGCUGUCUAAGAAUGUUACAGGCCAAGUCAUGUUGGUAUGUCAUAGUGUAUCAAGAUGCCAAAAUUGAUUAUCGUCAGGAUUAGAGUAAUUAAGGCUCAGAUGUGCAAUCCUGAAAAAAUUCGAUAGCAGAAACUAUACCCUCUGGGAAGAUUAGUUGAAUCAUUCACUGAAAUAUUCUAUCACAAAAUCAUUCACUGAAUGCACAACAGAUACGGAGCAGCUUCUCUUAUAGUCUCAUUCUCUGCACUCCCCCUCAUUCUAUCAGCUGCUGCUAUAUUCUAUCCACAUUAGUCACUGAAUCCUCUGCAUGCCAAUUUGACCGGGGCUGGCUAGUUAACUGAAAUCCAUCAGCUUUUCACUGGUACCUUUACCUGUUAAUUAACAAAAACAAUUCCCCA